rnacentral:rRNA from 1 species
GACGGAGGAUGCAAGCGUUAUCCGGAAUGAUUGGGCGUAAAGCGUUCGCAGGUGGCUGUUCAAGUCUGCUGUCAAAGACCGGGGCUUAACCCUAGAAAGGCAGUGGAAACUGGACGGCUGGAGUGCCGUAUGGGUAGAGGGAAUUCCCAGUGUAGCGGUGAAAUGCGUAGAGAUUGGGAAGAACACCGGUGGCGAUAGCGCUCUGCUGGACUGCAACUGACACUGAGUGACGAAAGCUAGGGGAGGGUAAGGA